AGCAGCCGCGGUAAUUCCAGCUCCAAUAGCGUAUAUUAAAGUUGCUGCAGUUAAAAGCUCGUAGUUGAAUUUCGGGACUAAUAUGUCGGUCGUGCCUCGGUACGUACUGGCUUAUUGGUUUCUCCUUUCUGAAGAACCAUGAUGUCAUUUAUUUGGUGUCGUGGGGAAUCAGGACUGUUACUUUGAAAAAUUAGAGUGUUUAAAGCAGGCUCACGCUUGAAUACAUUAGCAUGGAAUAAUGAAAUAGGACGUUUGAUUCUAUUUUGUUGGUUCUAGGAUCGACGUAAUGAUUAAUAGGGAUAGUUGGGGCAUUAGUAUUCAAUUGUCAGAGGUGAAAUUCUUGGAUUUUAUUGAAGACUAACUACUGCGAAAGCAUUUUGCCAAGGAUGUUUUCAUUAAUCAAGAACGAAAGUUUAGGGGAUCGAAGACGAUCAGAUACCGUCGUAGUCUUAAACCAUAAAACUAUGCCGACUAGGAUCGGAUGAUGUAAUUUUAAAUGACUCAUUCGGCG
rnacentral:rRNA from 1 species